rnacentral:rRNA from 1 species
UACGGAGGAUCCGAGCGUUAUCCGGAUUUAUUGGGUUUAAAGGGUGCGCAGGCGGGAGAUUAAGUCGGCGGUGAAAUUUUGCAGCUCAACUGUAAAAGUGCCUUCGAAACUGGUUUCCUUGAGUGUGGAUGAAGUAGGCGGAAUUUGUGGUGUAGCGGUGAAAUGCAUAGAUAUCACGAGGAACUCCGAUUGCGCAGGCAGCUUACUAAACUACUACUGACGCUCAUGCACGAAGGCGUGGGGAUCAAACAGGAUUAGAUACCCCGGUAGU